rnacentral:rRNA from 1 species
UGCAAGUCGAGCGCGCCCUUCGGGGUGAGCGGCGGACGGGUUAGUAACGCGUGGGAAUAUGCCCAAAGGUACGGAAUAGCCUCUGGAAACGGAGAGUAAUACCGUAUGUGCCCUUCGGGGGAAAGAUUUAUCGCCUUUGGAUUAGCCCGCGUUAGAUUAGGUAGUUGGUGGGGUAAUGGCCUACCAAGCCUACGAUCUAUAGCUGGUUUUAGAGGAUGAUCAGCAACACUGGGACUGAGACACGGCCCAGACUCCUACGGGAGGCAGCAGUGGGGAAUCUUGGACAAUGGGGGCAACCCUGAUCCAGCCAUGCCGCGUGAGUGAUGAAGGCCUUAGGGUCGUAAAGCUCUUUCGCCUGUGAAGAUAAUGACGGUAGCAGGUAAAGAAACCCCGGCUAACUCCGUGCCAGCAGCCGCGGUAAUACGGAGGGGGUUAGCGUUGUUCGGAAUUACUGGGCGUAAAGCGCACGUAGGCGGAUCGGAAAGUUGGGGGUGAAAUCCCGGGGCUCAACCCCGGAACUGCCUCCAAAACUAUCGGUCUAGAGUUCGAGAGAGGUGAGUGGAAUUCCGAGUGUAGAGGUGAAAUUCGUAGAUAUUCGGAGGAACACCAGUGGCGAAGGCGGCUCACUGGCUCGAUACUGACGCUGAGGUG